GGAGAAAAGCAGGGGAUCGCAAGACCUUGCGCUAAAGGAGCGGCCGAUGUCUGAUUAGUUAGUUGGUGGGGUAAAGGCCUACCAAGGCAACGAUCAGUAGCUGGUCUGAGAGGACGAUCAGCCACACUGGGACUGAGACACGGCCCAGACUCCUACGGGAGGCAGCAGUGGGGAAUUUUGGACAAUGGGCGAAAGCCUGAUCCAGCCAUGCCGCGUGAAUGAAGAAGGCCUUCGGGUUGUAAAGUUCUUUUAGUUGGAAAGAAAAAAUUAUGAUGAAUAAUCAUAAUUCACGACGGUACCGACAGAAAAAGCACCGGCUAACUACGUGCCAGCAGCCGCGGUAAUACGUAGGGUGCAAGCGUUAAUCGGAAUUACAGGGCGUAAAGGGUGUGCAGGCGGCCUUGUAAGCCAGGAGUGAAAGCCCCGGGCUUAACCUGGGAAUUGCGUUGAAACUACAAAGCUAGA
rnacentral:rRNA from 1 species